rnacentral:rRNA from 1 species
CCCUUAGAUGUUCUGGGCCGCACGCGCGCUACACUGAUGCAUUCAACGAGUCUAAAACCUGCUCUGAUAGGGGUGGGUAAUCUUUUGAAUGUGCAUCGUGAUUGGGAUAGAUGAUUGCAAUUUUUCAUCUUCAACGAGGAAUGCCUAGUAAACGCAAGUCAUCAGCUUGCAUUGAUUACGUCCCUGCCCUUUGUACACACCGCCCGUCGCUCCUACCGAUUGAAUGAUCCGAUGAAUAUCAUGGAUUGAGGAUGCAAGUAGGUUCGCCUAUCUUCAUCUGCGAGAAGUGAAGUAAAUCUUAUCAUUUAGAGGAAGGAGAAGUCGUAACA